rnacentral:lncRNA from 1 species
UUUUAUUUUUGUUGUUGUUGUGUGAUUUGGAUUGAUCCCCUCUACCACACGGAACCCCACUAAUCUACUGACGGAGCGCAGGAGGUGGCUAACAACAGACCUCCAUCCUAUGCUAGCUUGCUACCGAUGCCCUGUCUAGCUGUCUAAAUCACCAACCAACCUCUCCACUCACCGGACCCUUUUGAUCACUCGACUAAGCAUGCCUCUCCUUAAUGUCAAUAUGUCUUGUCCAUUUCUGUUCUGGUUAGUGUUUAUUGGCUUAUUUCACUGUAGAGCCUCUAGUCCUGCUCACUAUACCUUAUCCAACCUAUUAGUUCCACCACCCACACAUGCAAUGACAUCUCCUGGUUUCAACGAUGUUUCUAGAGACAAUAUCUCUCUCUUCAUCACUCAAUACCUAGGUUUACCUCCACUGUAUUCACAUCCUACCAUACAUUUGUCUGUACAUUAUACCUUGAUGCUAUUUUAUCGCCCCCAGAAACCUCCUUUUACUCUAUGUUCCAGACGUUCUAGACGACCAAUUCUCAUAGCUUUUAGCCGUACCCUUAUUCUACUCCUCCUAUGUUCCUCUGGCGAUGUAGAGGUGAAUCCAGGCCCUGCAGUGCCUAGCUCCACUCCUAUUCCCCAGGCGCUCUCUUUUGACGACUUCUGUAACCGUAAUAGCCUUGGUUUCAUGCAUGUUAACAUUAGAAGCCUCCUCCCUAAGUUUGUUCUAUUCACUGCUUUAGCACACUCUGCCAACCCGGAUGUUCUAGCUGUGUCUGAAUCCUGGCUUAGGAAGACCAGCAAAAACUCAGACAUUUUAAUUCCAAACUACAACAUUUUCAGACAAGAUAGAACUGCCAAAGGGGGCGGUGUUGCAAUCUACUGCAAAGAUAGCCUGCAGAGUUCUGUCCUACUAUCCAGGUCUGUACCCAAACAAUUUGAACUUCUACUUUUAAAAAUCCACCUCUCUAAAAACAAGUCUCUCACCGUUGCCGCCUGCUAUAGACCACCCUCUGCCCCCAGCUGUGCUCUGGACACCAUAUGUGAACUGAUUGCCCCCCAUCUAUCUUCAGAGUUCGUGCUGCUAGGCGACCUAAACUGGAACAUGCUUAACACCCCAGCCAUCCUACAAUCUAAACUUGAUGCCCUCAAUCUCACACAAAUAAUCAAUGAACCUACCAGGUACCUCCCCAAAACCUUAAACACGGGCACCCUCAUAGAUAUCAUCCUAACCAACUUCCCCUCUAAAUACACCUCUGCUGUCUUCAACCAAGAUCUCAGCGAUCACUGCCUCAUUGCCUGCAUCCGUAAUGGGUCAGCGGUCAAACGACCUCCACUCAUCACUGUAAAACGCUCCCUGAAACACUUCUGCGAGCAGGCCUUUCUAAUCGACCUGGCCGGGGUAUCCUGGAAGGAUAUUGAUCUCAUCCCGUCAGUAGAGGAUGCCUGGAUAUUUUUUAAAAAUGCCUUCCUAACCAUCUUAAAUAAACAUGCCCCAUUUAAGAAAUUUAGAACCAGGAACAGAUAUAGCCCUUGGUUCUCCCCAGACCUGACUGCCCUUAACCAACACAAAAACAUCCUAUGGCGUUCUGCAUUAGCAUCGAACAGCCC